rnacentral:rRNA from 1 species
ACCAGACUCCUACGGGAGGCAGCAGUGGGGAAUAUUGGACAAUGGGGGGAACCCUGAUCCAGCGACGCCGCGUGAGUGAAGAAGUAUUUCGGUAUGUAAAGCUCUAUCAGCAGGGAAGAAAGAAAUGACGGUACCUGACUAAGAAGCCCCGGCUAACUACGUGCCAGCAGCCGCGGUAAUACGUAGGGGGCAAGCGUUAUCCGGAUUUACUGGGUGUAAAGGGAGCGUAGACGGCGAUGCAAGUCUGAAGUGAAAGGCGGGGGCCCAACCCCCGGACUGCUUUGGAACUGCGCGGCUGGAGUGCAGGAGGGGCAGGCGGAAUUCCUGGUGUAGCGGUGAAAUGCGUAGAUAUCAGGAGGAACACCGGUGGCGAAGGCGGCUUACUGGACGGCAACUGACGCUGAGGCUCGAAAGCGUGGGGAGCAAACAGGAUUAGAUACCCUGGUAUG